rnacentral:rRNA from 1 species
UACAGAGGUCCCAAGCGUUGUUCGGAUUCACUGGGCGUAAAGGGUGCGUAGGUGGCCAGGUAAGUUCGGUGUGAAAGCUCGGAGCUCAACUCCGAAAUGCAUUGAAUACUAUCUGGCUUUAUUGAGGGUCGGAGGGGAGACUGGAAUUCUCGGUGUAGCAGUGAAAUGCUAGAUAUCGAGAGGAACACCAGUGGCGAAGGCGAGUCUCUGGACGACACCUGACACUGAGGCACGAAAGCUAGGGGAGCAAACAGGG